rnacentral:rRNA from 1 species
UACAGAGGUCUCAAGCGUUGUUCGGAUUCAUUGGGCGUAAAGGGUACGUAGGCGGCGCGGUAAGUCGGGUGUGAAAUCUCGGAGCUUAACUCCGAAACUGCAUUCGAUACUGCCGUGCUUGAGGACUGGAGAGGAGACUGGAAUUUACGGUGUAGCGGUGAAAUGCGUAGAUAUCGUAAGGAAGACCAGUGGCGAAGGCGGGUCUCUGGACAGUUCCUGACGCUGAGGCACGAAGGCCAGGGGAGCAAACGGG